rnacentral:lncRNA from 1 species
UAAUGCCCCAGUUUGACUGUUGCUGGGUUCUUGAGACGCAGCUGAAUGAUCUGCUUUUCAUUGCUCAAGUGCUCGGGUAAUCUCAUCAGGAAUCCCCUUCAACAUCAUCUUCCUCCGCCUCGAAUACAAGGAAUUCAAAUUUGGGAGAUGGCGUUGGAUCAUUAUGUUCAAUGGGUUUAGAAAUCCCUGCAUAAUGAUUUUG